UACGUACUGUGCGAACGUUAUUCGGAAUCACUGGGCUUAAAGGGUGUGUAGGCGGCCGGCUAAGUAGGGUGUGAAAGGCCUCGGCCUAACCGAGGCAUUGCGCUCUAAACUGACCGGCUUGAGUGAGAUAGGGGUGUGCGGAACUUCCAGUGGAGCGGUGAAAUGUGUUGAUAUUGGAAGGAACGCCGGUGGCGAAAGCGGCACACUGGGUCUUGUCUGACGCUGAGACACGAAAGCCAGGGGAGCGAACGGG
rnacentral:rRNA from 2 species